ACAAACCGGUCCGACGUGUCGUCUGCAGUCUGCAUCUUUUUUAAAGUUGAAUAUUGCUUUUUGCCAGGCUCUGUUCUUUCUAAUUAAAAUUAACACUUAUUUUAUCAAAAAUUAAACACAGAAAGUUUGGCCUUAUUGUAAGUUGUCCAAUUCUCAUUUGUCUGAAUAGUUAAGUUACUUAUUUUGUUAAAGGGUGCUAAAAACGCAAGCAAAUGUUGGUGUUAUUAAAGAAGACAAUCCCAAACUCAAAAUCAAAACAGAGCAGAAAUCACCUUACUAAAGACCUAAGUUACCUUUAGAAAGAUGUUUUCAUCGUUGUGAAAUUUUGAAAGAAAUCUAUGAUGCAGAAAUGAUUGUUUACAUACAUUUCCCCAAUUACAAAGUUUCAGCAAUUAACUUAAUGCAAUGGAUAUGGUGAUGUUGCUUUAAGCAUUGUGUUAAUGUUCAAGGAGUAUGGAGAGAGAUUUUUUGGGAGUUUUAAUAAUUCUGCUAAAGCAUCUCAACAAAACUCGAUGAUGGGUUAGCAAGAAAAGUUAAGUUUUAAGUGUUUUUGUUCAUAGGUUUAUUUUUAAUUAUCAUUUCUUGUUUCAGAUCACAACACAUUUUUCUGGUCUAAGCAAAAACAGAAAUGUUAGUUUUAAUAACUCUGUAAAAACACCCCACCAAAAACAAGAUUAUGGUUUUCCCAUUGAAACUACAAGUUCUUUUCCGAAGUGAAACUGCAGUCUAUUACUACUGCAUCACAAGUUUCUGAAGCCAGAUUCAUCGACUGUUAUGAGUCCUGGCAGCUUCAGGAGUGACAAGAGGAUUUUUGUUAAUGGGUGCUAAAAAAUCAAAUGCUGGUGUUUCUAAAGAAGAGAAACCCAAACCCAAAUCAUGGCAGAACAAACACCGCCUAAAACUUGACAUUUUUCGUCGUUGCGAAACUUUGAAAGAAGAAUGCUGAAAUUAUAAUAUUUAUACAUUUUCCCAGUUCUAAAGAUACCGCAACUUAUUGCAAUGCAUAUGUUGGUGUUGCCUUAAGCUAUGUGUCUAGGUUCAAGGGGUACGGAGAAAAGUUUUUGAGAGAAGUACUAAAUCUGCUGAAGCACCUCGACAAGAACUAGAUGAUUUAUCGAGUGAAAUUACAAGAAAUAUUCCUGAUGGAAGUGAAAACACAGAUGAUAGUGAUAGCCUAAAUAACUCUGUUAAAGCACCUCAGCAAGAACUAAAUGAGAAUGGCUCUUCCAAUAAAAAUUAUAACUGAUUUUACAUUCCAAACUGAAACUACAGCGGAUUUCUUCUGCAUCAUAAAUUUUUGAAGUUCCAUUAGUUCCAUAUUCAUCGACGGUUGUUACGCGUCGAGGAGUGACAAGAGGACUUAAAAGAUUUUCCAGUGUCCUUGAGAACAAAAGGAGAAAUUGGUAUGGAAAAAGGAAGAGGACAGAUGAAUGUUGUAUUUCCCGUAAUGCUACGUACAUCUAGCCCAUCUCCUCCCUUCUCGCCUACCCCUAGUCUUUCUCCUACUCCUACAGCGUCGCUUUCGUCUUGUCCACCUAAGACCGAUACUGUUUUAAAGGUGAAGAAUAAAGAUGUCAUCAAACCUCUCAAGGGUUAUUUUUACGGGGACCCGAAGGAAAGGGAUCGUUCGUUGUACUAAGCGAACCUCAGUUUAAUUGCUCUCCUACAGAAUAUUUUUGUUAAAAUUGAUUUUCUUUCUCAUUGUAAAAUGUAAACAUGUCUAACAUCUAAGUCUGUCUGCACUUUGUACAGUAGGAGAAGCGAGAAUUGUUUUGUAAAAUAUACUAGACAUUUUUAAUAAAA